rnacentral:rRNA from 1 species
CCUACGGGAGGCAGCAGUGAGGAAUAUUGGUCAAUGGACGAGAGUCUGAACCAGCCAAGUCGCGUGAAGGAUGACUGCCCUAUGGGUUGUAAACUUCUUUUAUAUGGGAAUAAAAUGUUCCACGUGUGGGAUUUUGUAUGUACCAUAUGAAUAAGGAUCCGCUAACUCCGUGCCAGCAGCCGCGGUUAUACGGAGGAUCCGAGCGUUAUCCGGAUUUUUUGGGUUUAAAGGGAGCGUAGGUGGAUUGUUAAGUCAGUUGUGAAAGUUUGCGGCUCAACCGUAAAAUUGCAGUUGAAACUGGCAGUCUUGAGUACAGUAGAGGUGGGCGGAAUUCGUGGUGUAGCGGUGAAAUGCUUAGAUAUCACGAAGAACUCCGAUUGCGAAGGCAGCUCACUGGACUGCAACUGACACUGAGGCUCGAAAGUGUGGGUAUCAAACAGGAUUAGAUACCCUAGUAGUC